UAACCGAUAAACAGUCAUGGCGGAAGCCGUAGCAUGCCAAUUGCAGUACGAGAACAAGGAGAACUCUAUUCUCUUGCUGCAUGCCGGCGUGCGACUAAUAGGUCUGCUACGUAGUGGGGAAGUUGGAUGGCACGCAAAUGAGUGACCACGCGGAAUGACACAAGCGUCCGAUGAACUGUGCGGUAGCCUAUUAGGCCUCGGUAUCAGACGAUCGAUUCGUGUUCCUGGUCCAUCCUGGAUAGAUCUCACAGAUGACAAGGAUGCCAUAAAUACUCUGACUUUGACAAGUCAAGCAGCAGAAACUGAUCCUCAGGCCCAUUGCCAGCGGAUAAGGAUGCGUCAACUGUAGGAGCUCGAUGAGCUGGCCUUGACCUAUGUGCCUGUGCCUGCCAUAGAUCUGGCCCAGAUGGUAACUCAGAGCACGAACAAGGAAUCAUAUUUACAAUAAUUGCCGCACUAUAGUUUCGAUAUUGUAAUGGGAUGCGCAGAGAAGAAAAUCUAAACGCUUUUCGGCAUAAUGGAGCUGGAGGAUGAGGAUCGUACGCGUCUCUAGCAGGUCUCCAGACAGAUCGCCGAUGGGGCCCGAUUCGCCAACUAUGUGGUCAAUCUGGAGAGUGAAUGCUCUUCAAUGUAACCUUCUUCCAUUCGAAGAUCGAGAAAGGCAAGCAUGAUCCACUCCUCUUUGGGAUGCAAUCAGGACUACAAGUUCUACAUCGAAGUGGCCGAUUUCCAAUCUGAUUUGAUACCAUGUCGGAGUAGGUUACGUUUAGGUUAAUCAGAUUUAGAUUAGCAUUACACAAAUAUCAACCAAUUUUGUAAACAUGGAAUGAAGCAAGUUUUGUGUAACAAUAAAAAGUGUGGCAUGCUUUCAGGAUGCUACGAUAUUGUUUUCCAAUA